rnacentral:rRNA from 1 species
UGGGGAAUCUUGCGCAAUGGGCGGAAGCCUGACGCAGCGACGCCGCGUGCGGGAGGAAGGCCCUCGGGUCGUAAACCGCUUUCAGCAGGGACGAGGCCGCAAGGUGACGGUACCUGCAGAAGAAGCCCCGGCUAACUACGUGCCAG